rnacentral:rRNA from 1 species
UACGUAGGGUGCGAGCGUUGUCCGGAAUUAUUGGGCGUAAAGAGCUCGUAGGUGGCGGGUCACGUCGGGUGUGAAAACUCGGGGCUUAACUCCGGGCCUGCAGUGGGUACGGGCAGACUAGAGUGCGGUAGGGGAGACUGGAAUUCCUGGUGUAGCGGUGAAAUGCGCAGAUAUCAGGAGGAACACCGGUGGCGAAGGCGGGUCUCUGGGCCGUAACUGACGCUGAGGAGCGAAAGCGUGGGGAGCGAACAGG